rnacentral:rRNA from 1 species
AUUGAACGCUGGCGGCAGGCCUAACACAUGCAAGUCGAGCGAGCGGCGGACGGGUGAGUAAUGUAUGGGGACUGCUCGAUAGCGGGGGAUAACUACUGGAAACGGUAGCUAAUACCGCAUACUAUCGGAUAACCCAUAUGGGAUUAGCUAGUUGGUGGGGUAAAGGCUCACCAAGGCAACGAUCCGUAGCUGGUUGGAGAGGACGACCAGCCAUACGGGGACUGAUACACGGCCCAGACGCCUACGGAGGCAUAAGUGGGGAAUAUUGCACAAUGGACGCAAGCCUGAGGCAGCCAUGCCGCGUGUAUGAAGAAGGCUCUAGGGUUUUAAAGUACUUUCAUUAGGGAGGCGUUACCGACAGAAGAAGCACCGGCUAACUACGUGCCAGCAGCCGCGGUAAUAC